UACGUAGGCAGCGAGCGUUGUUCGGAGUUACUGGGCGUAAAGGGUGUGUAGGCGGUUGUUUAAGUUUGGUGUGAAAUCUCCCGGCUCAACUGGGAGGGUGCGCCGAUACUGAAUGACUUCGAGUGCGGGAGAGAGAGUGGAAUUCCUGGUGUAGCGGUGAAAUGCGUAGAUAUCAGGAGGAACACCGGUGGUGUAGACGGCUCUCUGGACCGUAACUGACGCUGAGACACGAAAGCGUGGUAGCAAACAGG
rnacentral:rRNA from 1 species